AAUUAAUGAACUUGUAAAGUAUAUGUUUUGAAAACAUAAAAAAGAGAAUUUAUCCUCUAUUAAUUU
rnacentral:tRNA from 1 species